GGAUGUGAGGGCUGUUUGGCUGUGACAUCUGUUACCCCACUCAUCACUGGGGUUGAUUCAGCUGAUCCGGCUGUCUAGGCAGUGACCCCUUCCUCACGGCCCAUGUGCGUCCCUCCCAGAGCUGCGUGCUUGGUGGAAGAGGACGCCCACCCCCGAUAGAGGAGGACUGUUUCCUCGGUCAGGGGCACAUGAAUAGCUGAGCUUCCCUGCUAGAACCUCCAAACAAGCUCUCAAGAAUAAUGGGAUAAGUGCGUUUGAAGUGAGGGGAAGUAUUUUGAAGGAGAUAAAUGACAAUGUGUCUUUUACAGCAAUAUUUUUUUUU
ensembl:misc_RNA 7SK 7SK RNA